GAUCAAUGGAUCACUUGUCCCUCCCACCUUUGGUCCCACCCUCUCAGAUGAGCCUCUCAGGGUCUCCCCUUUACCCACUUCCCAAAGUGACCAAGGCCGGAGGGCUGGGCCAGCCAGCGACCUGCCGAGAGUUUCCCACACAGCCUCGGCUGCAGGAGCUACCAGGCCCAGGAGAAGAGGGAGACUCAGACUCAACGCUUCCUUUACUCUCUGACUAG
ensembl:lncRNA